UCAAAAACAUCUCUUUCUGAUUUAAAUAUAGAAAGUAGGCCCUGCCCGGUGGAUUUUAAACGGAAAUUAGGUUUUAAAGUAGCGUAAUAGUUUGUCCCUUAAUUAGGGUCUGGAAUGAAGGGGUUGACGGGAGGAUAGCUGUCUUUAAAAGAUUUUUUUUGAAAUUUUCUUUUUAGUGAAAAGCCUAGAAUGAUUGUAAAAGACGAGAAGACCCCGUCGAGCUUUAAUUUAGCGUUUAGGGGCUUAAGGUUGAGGUCACUGGUAGUGAAAGUUUGUUGGGACAACAACGGAGAAGAGUAAAUCUCUGUUUAGAGUGGUACAUAUAUCCAAUUUUUAUUGAAUUAGGAAGAAGUUACCGCGGGGAUAACAGCGCAAGACCACCGCAGAGUUCGUAUCUAAGGUGGUAGGUGCGACCUCGAUGUUGGAUUAGGGUUACUUUCUGGUGCAGCCGCUGGAAGGGGGGGACUGUUCGUCCCGUAAGCCCCUACAUGAUCUGAGUU
rnacentral:rRNA from 1 species